CAGAAUUUCAAUGUAGCACCAAGCAUGAAUUUUGCCUGAAAAUUAAUUAAAAAAUUACCAAAAUCCAACCUCAACUCCAUAUCUCAUUGUAAUACCUUAUAAAUCAAGUGUUUUAUAUCAUAUACACAAUAAAUAUAAAGAUUUAGGCUUUAUUUUACAAACCCAUUUCAUAUUACUUUAACAUAUAUUCAACUCCAAUAUCUAUUCUCUCCCCCCAAAUCUUUCAAGUUAAGCCACUAAUUACAAACCUAAAUUUAACAAUAUUAAAUAACAAUGAGUUUUCUUACCUCUUGGAAUAGAAUAGAAGAAAUGAAGAACCUUGUACUUGAGUCCAUAUUUCAUAUUCUUCAAUAAUCUCUUUUUCCUUUUCUUUUCCCCCCUUUUUUCUUAUUUUCUUCCCCCUUUUCUUUCUCUUUCUCUUCUUUGCUUUUCUCUACCUCCUCCUUGAUUCUUCUCUCUUUCUCUCAGCUUCUC
rnacentral:lncRNA from 1 species